AUGGGCUGGUCGCACCCUGUGCAGGAGUCAGUCUCAGUCAGGACACAGCAUGGACAUGAGGGUCCCCGCUCAGCUCCUGGGGCUCCUGCUACUCUGGCUCCGAGGUGCCAGAUGUGACAUCCAGAUGACCCAGUCUCCAUCCUCCCUGUCUGCAUCUGUAGGAGACAGAGUCACCAUCACUUGCCGGUUUGCAAAGUGGGGUCCCAUCAAGGUUCAGUGGCAGUGGAUCUGGGACAGAUUUCACUCUCACCAUCAGCAGUCUGCAACCUGAAGAUUUUGCAACUUACUACUGUCAACAGAGUUACAGUACCCCUCCCACA
rnacentral:lncRNA from 1 species